GAUGAAGAACGUAGCGAAAUGCGAUAAGUAAUGCGAAUUGCAGAAUUUCCGUGAGUCAUCGAAUCUUUGAACGCACAUUGCGCCCUUUGGUAUUCCGAAGGGCAUGCCUGUUCGAGCGUCAUUAUCACCCCUCAAGCCCUCGGCUUGGUGUUGGACGGUUUGGUGGAGGCCCCCUCGGGGGUUCCUGCCCCUCCCAAAGACAAUGACGGCGGCCUCGUUGGACCCCCGGUACACUGAGUUCUUCACGGGACACGUAUCGGACACAUGGGUUUACGGGACACGGUCUGCCUCCCCUCAGGGAGAAUCUUUCUAAGGUUGACCUCGGAUCAGGUAGGGAUACCCGCUGAACUUAAGCAUAUCAAUAAGCGGAGGA
rnacentral:misc_RNA from 1 species